AAUGGUAAACAAGUGAGCGGUUUUCCGGAUCCUUUAUAAACUUACAUAGGCAUAUUACAUUUCUUUGGUCUGCGUUUGUCUAAUAAACUAGGAAUACGUUAAAAAAGAACACUUAAUUGUUAUUAAAUAAAUGAAAAAAGGCAUUAUUUGGCCCUAUUAUUUUUACUCGACAUAAUUCAAACUGUAAAUCGGAAUUAACUUCCGCCCGUUACAGAAUAAGUCGGCACUAUUUUCAUUGCGUAUGCCUCUUGUGUGCGAAGGGUGCAUUUGCUACAAUUCGCUUGCCGCCCGGUGUUUUUAUGAGUGGUCUCGUGUGGUAAACAAAAUUAAAUGUUGAUUACUAAUUUCCUUUUUUACUUCUUCUAUAUCUAUACUUACAUAUAAAUCUACAGUGGUUUUUACGGAUGUUCCGUUAUAACUACUGAACCAUGCAUCUGAUUGACUUGAAACUUGGCAUCCAUGUAGAAAAUACAUGUACUUAAUGGAUAGGCUAAUAUUUAUAUGAGUGUUGGACUUCCUACACCAGUUGUGGGGGCGUUAAUGAUGAGAUUCUUUGUGGGGGUGAGAAAUAAUAAUGUUAAAUUUAAAUGCCCAGCGAAGCGGACGGGUACAGCUAGUCGGCUUAUAAGAUGGGCGGAUAUAUAUCUAUAUGAUAUAUAGCUUCGUACAUAUAAUGAUUACUUACUAAACUAAAUUGAGAAAUUUACGAAACGAAUUUUAGAUCGAUAAUAUAAUUUUAAUUUUAUCUAACUAUUGUUUAAAAAAAUUUGUCACAUCACUGUCAAGAAUUUUUCGAACUACCGUCACUAGACACAGAUGGGAUCGAUGCCUUGAAUUGCUCUUUAGUAUUAGGAACACAAGCUGGGUUUUGGAAAACCAUAAUGAUUUUAUCAUUAACAUAAUAUGUAUUAUAAUAUAUCUCACUGUGUGGUUUUAGUAGACAUUUGCACUGGUCAAAUAUGCACACUGUUACUUAUAGCUAAUAAUUAUUUCAAUCAAGUACUGUUUCAUUAUAUAAUUUUUCUGAGUUACUUGAAAAGGUAAUUCUUAAACAACUAGACAAAACAAUACGACCGUGCCAGGUGGCAAGGGUGUUUAAAGUAAGGUUAUUGUUGUCUUCCAAUUUUUUGCCUCGUCGGAGCAGUGUAUUCCUCUGACAGAACUCUGGACAACAAUCAUCUUCAACCUUUGAAGAAAAAUCAAACUGAAUAUUUUGAAAUGGACACCUUUUUUAAAAUUUUAUUUUAUUUAAAAUUAUCUUUCAUUUUUGUUAAAUUGGUCACAGUUAUUGAGAUUGCUCUAUAGCAUAAAUGCUAAGAGAUUACGUGAAUAAAAUCUAUAUAGAUUGGUGCCUUGAAGUCAAGAUUAAACGGAUUGUAUUUUUUAAUUGUAGUUGUAGCACAUUACUGUUCAGUAUUCGAGCCUUUUUACUAAAAUUGUUUCACAAUUAACAGUUACAUUUGUAAAUGAAAAAAAAAACCAUCAUUCCGUCAUUACACGGUAUAUAGUUGAAAUAAAUAUAUUUUUCAAAAUGUUAA